AUUGGUUACGGUGUGGGUGUUGGUGGCUGGGCGACCGGUCUUAAUCUAGGCAAAAAGUCCGUGGGAGUUGUGUACACAGCUCAUCGCAACAUCGGGAUCACUCUCUUCACCCUCGGUACAUUGCAGCUUUUCGCAUUGUUUCUGAGGCCAAACAAGGAUCACAAAUAUCGGUUCUACUGGAAUAUAUAUCAUCAUCUGAUGGGAUACACUGUCAUUGU
rnacentral:misc_RNA from 1 species